AGAUUGAACGCUGGCGGCAUGCUUUACACAUGCAAGUCGAACGGCAGCACGGGGGCAACCUUGGUGGCGAGUGGCGAACGGGUGAGUAAUAUAUCGGAACGUACCCGGAAAUGGGGGAUAACGUAGCGAAAGUUACGCUAAUACCGCAUAUGCCCUGAGGGGAAAGCGGGGAUUCGUAAGAACCUCGCGUUCUCGGAGCGGCCGAUAUCGGAUUAGCUAGUAGGUGAGGUAAAGGCUCACCUAGGCGACGAUCCGUAGCUGGUCUGAGAGGACGACCAGCCACACUGGAACUGAGACACGGUCCAGACUCCGUACGGGAGCAGCAGUGGGGAAUUUGGACAAGUGGGCGCGAAGCCUGAUCCGAGCCAUCGCCGCGUGAGUGAAGAAGGCCUUGGGUUAGUAAGCUCUUCAGACCGUAAAGAAACGUACGAACGGUUAACUACCGU
rnacentral:rRNA from 1 species